UACGUAGGAGGCAAACGUUGCUCGGAUUUACUGGGCGUAAAGGGUGAGUAGGCGGAACUAUAAGUCUAAGGUGAAAGACCGAAGCUCAACUUCGGAAACGCCUCGGAUACUGUGGUUCUUGGAUAUUGUAGGGGAUGAUGGAAUUCUCGGUGUAGCGGUGGAAUGUAUAGAUAUCGAGAAGAACACCUAUAGCGAAGGCAGUCAUCUGGGCAUUUAUCGACGCUGAAUCACGAAAGCUGGGGGAGCAAAC
rnacentral:rRNA from 1 species